rnacentral:rRNA from 1 species
UACGAAGGGGCUAGCGUUGCUCGGAAUCACUGGCGUAAAGGGCGCGUAGGCGGCCGAUUAAGUCGGGGGUGAAAGCCUGUGGCUCAACCACAGAAUUGCCUUCGAUACUGGUUGGCUUGAGACCGGAAGAGGACAGCGGAACUGCGAGUGUAGAGGUGAAAUUCGUAGAUAUUCGCAAGAACACCAGUGGCGAAGGCGGCUGUCUGGUCCGGUUCUGACGCUGAGGCGCGAAAGCGUGGGGAGCAAACAG